AUCUUUGUGGCCCUCCACUGGACCUGCUCCAACAACUCAACGUGCAGCUCUAACACCUGAGAAGCAUCAGUGUGAAGAUAACCACUGUCCGCUGGAAGACUAUUGCAGUUGUACACGCUCAGGCAGAUGAAUUACAAAUAGCCUACUGGAUAUUUUCAAAAAUAGGAGGGAGUGGUCUUUGUUCUAUGUGCAACUAGCAAGACAGGAGCCAUGCUCAACUUCAUCUGGGAAAUCCAAGAUCCAACUACAAAGCUUGUGCUUGUGUGAUGUCAUUUGACAGGGAAGACAGGAAACAUGAAGAAAAGAUGGAUUCGUAUCUGAGAGUGGAACAAUCAUAUUUUUUCCUUGAAGUCCUGAAUAUAUGACCACCCUAGGUAUAGAAAAAUGCCUCUGCAAGUGUUUGUCCUGGCUUUAUUUCGAAGCUGCUUUAAGCUGGUGACUUUUUAUCACUAUUUGUAGGCUUGGUUUCUCAAUAUACUUUGACAAAUGCAAAUCAGAGUAUAUAAAAGCUCACAAAAAGAAUUACAGUAAAGCAGAGAAUCCUCUAUGUGUUAUUUCAAAUUUUAUUAUGACAGCUUGCCAGCAACUUCCUCCUGUGAGUCACAAGUGUCAGUUUACUCUUCACUGUCUGCCUGAAUGUACAUAUUGUUUAGGUGUGAGGAGGAUUAAUUUAAUAGGUAAAUUUAACAGCACAGAAUUUAUCAAUAAGAUGCAGAAACCAUAGAUAUUUCAGAAGUACAACUUAAAGAGAAGUUAGUAUCAUCAAAUAAUUAUGUUUUUAUCGUUCUUAUAUGUCUUUCUAGAUAUUUUCCUCUGAACCAAAUCUGUAGUCAAGUUGAGAAAGGAUGGAAAAUGAGGAGAUAAUAAAGUGGAAAAGAUGCUAUUUGUACAUACAAUGUUACGGAAUUACAGAAAAAUUUUCUACAUGUCAUAUAUCAGGCAAAACUGAACUUCUCAAAAAUAUGUCAAAGUUUCUAUCACAGCAGAACCUAUAGUUUGGUUUAAGAAAGAAAAAAAUCAGAAAAUUAAAUUACAACUUAAAAAUGUAAGUAACAGUAGUGGAAAAAUAAUUCUCAACUAUAAGUUGAUCUAGCCAGCAACAAGUUGGGACUUUGCUUAUUAGAAACAGAAGAAUAAAUAAAUAAAUAAAUAAAUAAAUAAUAGAAGAAAAAAAAAAUUAGAGGGAGAGGGGAGAGAGGCCCAGGUCUCCCAAAAUCAAAGAAUCCCAUGUGAAAGAAGCACACUGAUAUCUUUCUUGACUUUGCUAUCCUAUACUCCAUUGACUGUUAAUGAAAUAAAAUAAUUCAAUAAAAUAAAGGAUCG
rnacentral:lncRNA from 7 species